AAAUUUAUACUAGAUACUCUGAAACUCACAUGACUCAUUUAGCCUAAGUUUGGCUGAAAUUGAUACAGCAGUUUCAAAGGAGAAGAUUUUUUAAAGUAAGUCUACAUGAUGAACAAAUUGUGAAAAAAGUCUUUAAAGGGCAAUAACUCCUUCAGGGGUCAAUUGACAAUUUUGGUCAAAUUGACUUAUUUGUUGAUCUUACUUUGCUUAACAUUUUUGCUAUAAACAGUUU
rnacentral:lncRNA from 1 species